rnacentral:lncRNA from 1 species
UUGGUUACAAGAAUACCAGUUGAAUACGACUAGAGAAGCCCUACUCUAUUACAACGAAUACCUUCCUAAUUCUCGACUAAUUCUUGUCUUUCCAUGUAGACUACGCCGCUCUACAUCAUGAUCUUCAUGUUAUAUGUGUCUUGGUGUCUAAUUCCAUAUUUGAGUCUGUCCAAACCUUCUGAUGGGCCCAUAGAUAUAUGUAU